GGGAAACCGGUAUCGAGGGUUCGAAUCCCUCUCUCUCCGCCACCUUAUCGCAUAGACACCGCCCACUGGGCGGUGUCGGUCGUUUGCGGGCAGAGCUGAUAGCUGGGUCCCGCGCAACGGAAGGUUAUGAACCCCGUCAGGUCCGGAAGGAAGCAGCGGCAGUAAUCGACUCCGUGUGCCGCGGGGGUGCCCAGCUAUCAAUUGUGCCCGCAAGCACGUUCCCCUGAUUUCUC
rnacentral:SRP_RNA from 1 species